rnacentral:rRNA from 1 species
AGGCAGACCNCAAAAAAGGACGUCUCAGUUCGGAUUACAGCCUGCAACCCGGCUGUAUGAAGCUGGAAUCGCUAGUAAUCGCAGAUCAGAAUGCUGCGGUGAAUACGUUCCCGGGUCUUGUACACACCGCCCGUCACACCAUGGGAGCCAGGAAUGCCCGAAGCCAGUGGCCUAACCGCAAGGGAGGAGCUGUCGAAGGCAGGCCCGGUAACUGGGGUGAAGUCGUAACAAGGUACC